rnacentral:rRNA from 2 species
GCCGCGUGAGUGAUGAAGGCUUUCGGGUCGUAAAACUCUGUUGUUAGGGAAGAACAAGUGCUAGUUGAAUAAGCUGGCACCUUGACGGUACCUAACCAGAAAGCCACGGCUAACUACGUGCCAGCAGCCGCGGUAAUACGUAGGUGGCAAGCGUUAUCCGGAAUUAUUGGGCGUAAAGCGCGCGCAGGUGGUUUCUUAAGUCUGAUGUGAAAGCCCACGGCUCAACCGUGGAGGGUCAUUGGAAACUGGGAGACUUGAGUGCAGAAGAGGAAAGUGGAAUUCCAUGUGUAGCGGUGAAAUGCGUAGAGAUAUGGAGGAACACCAGUGGCGAAGGCGACUUUCUGGUCUGUAACUGACACUGAGGCGCGAAAGCGUGGGGAGCAAACAGGAUUAGAUACCCUGGUAGUCCACGCCGUAAACGAUGAGUGCUAAGUGUUAGAGGGUUUCCGCCCUUUAGUGCUGAAGUUAACGCAUUAAGCACUCCGCCUGGGGAGUACGGCCGCAAGGCUGA